CUCAAGAUGAGAUUUCCCAUUGCGUAAGCAAGUAAGAUCCCUCAAAGACGAUGAGGUAGAUAGGUCCGGGGUGGAAGCACGGUGACGUGUGGAGCUGACGGAUACUAAUCGAUCGAGGACUUAACCAAG
rnacentral:rRNA from 1 species